UAUGGAGUAUCCAUAGCUGAAUACAUAGGCUAUGUGAAGCGAACGCGGUGAACUGAAACAUCUAAGUAACCGCAGGAAAAGAAAUCAACCGAGAUUCCCAAAGUAGUGGCGAGCGAAAUGGGAUGAGCCUUGUACUCUUUAUUUGUAUUGUUAGCCGAACGCUCUGGAAAGUGCGGCCAUAGCAGGUGAUAGCCCUGUAGGCGAAAACAGUAUGAAAGAACUAGGUGUACGACAAGUAGGGCGGGACACGUGAAAUCCUGUCUGAAGAUGGGGGGACCAUCCUCCAAGGCUAAAUACUCGUGAUCGACCGAUAGUGAACCAGUACCGUGAGGGAAAGGCGAAAAGAACCCCGGGAGGGGAGUGAAAUAGAUCCUGAAACCGCAUGCAUACAAACAGUCGGAGCCUCUUUAUGGGGUGACGGCGUACCUUUUGUAUAAUGGGUCAGCGACUUACGUUCAGUAGCAAGCUUAACCGUAUAGGGCAGGCGUAGCGAAAGCGAGUCCGAAUAGGGCGUUCAGUUGCUGGGCGUAGACCCGAAACCAGGUGAUCUAUCCAUGGCCAGGAUGAAGGUGCGGUAACACGUACUGGAGGUCCGAACCCACUAACGUUGAAAAGUUAGGGGAUGAGCUGUGGAUAGGGGUGAAAGGCUAAACAAACCUGGAAAUAGCUGGUUCUCUCCGAAAACUAUUUAGGUAGUGCCUCGUGUCUCACCUUCGGGGGUAGAGCACUGUCAUGGUUGGGGGGUCUAUUGCAGAUUACCCCGCCAUAGCAAACUCCGAAUACCGAAGAGUGCAAUCACGGGAGACAGACAUCGGGUGCUAACGUCCGGUGUCAAGAGGGAAACAACCCAGACCGCCAGCUAAGGUCCCCAAAUAUGGCUAAGUGGGAAACGAAGUGGGAAGGCUAAAACAGUCAGGAGGUUGGCUUAGAAGCAGCCACCCUUUAAAGAAAGCGUAAUAGCUCACUGAUCGAGUCGUCCUGCGCGGAAGAUGUAACGGGGCUAAGCCAUAUACCGAAGCUGCGGAUGCGUGCUUGCACGCAUGGUAGGAGAGCGUUCCGUAAGCCUGCGAAGGUGCCUUGUAAAGGGUGCUGGAGGUAUCGGAAGUGCGAAUGCUGACAUGAGUAGCGAUAAAGGGGGUGAAAGGCCCCCUCGCCGUAAGCCCAAGGUUUCCUACGCAACGUUCAUCGGCGUAGGGUGAGUCGGCCCCUAAGGCGAGGCAGAAAUGCGUAGCUGAUGGGAAGCAGGUCAAUAUUCCUGCACCAUUGUUAGAUGCGAUGGGGGGACGGAUCGCGGAAGGUUGUCCGGGUGUUGGACGUCCCGGUCGCUGCAUUGGAGAAGGCGCUUAGGCAAAUCCGGGCGCAGGAUUCAAGGGUGUGGCGCGAGCGACUUCGGUCGCGAAGCAAUUGGAAGUGGUUCCAAGAAAAGCCUCUAAGCUUCAGUCUAACGAUGACCGUACCGCAAACCGACACAGGUGGGCGAGAUGAGUAUUCUAAGGCGCUUGAGAGAACUCGGGAGAAGGAACUCGGCAAAUUGGUACCGUAACUUCGGGAUAAGGUACGCCCUUGUAGCUUGACUGGCCUGCGCCAGGAGGGUGAAGGGGUUGCAAUAAACUGGUGGCUGCGACUGUUUAAUAAAAACACAGCACUCUGCAAACACGAAAGUGGACGUAUAGGGUGUGACGCCUGCCCGGUGCCGGAAGAUUAAAUGAUGGGGUGCAAGCUCUUGAUUGAAGUCCCGGUAAACGGCGGCCGUAACUAUAACGGUCCUAAGGUAGCGAAAUUCCUUGUCGGGUAAGUUCCGACCUGCACGAAUGGCGUAACGAUGGCCACACUGUCUCCUCCCGAGACUCAGCGAAGUUGAAGUGUUUGUGAUGAUGCAAUCUACCCGCGGCUAGACGGAAAGACCCCAUGAACCUUUACUGUAGCUUUGCAUUGGACUUUGAACCGAUCUGUGUAGGAUAGGUGGGAGGCUAUGAAACCGGAACGCUAGUUUCGGUGGAGCCGUCCUUGAAAUACCACCCUGGUUUGUUUGAGGUUCUAACCUUGGUCCGUGAUCCGGAUCGGGGACAGUGCAUGGUAGGCAGUUUGACUGGGGCGGUCUCCUCCCAAAGGGUAACGGAGGAGUACGAAGGUACGCUAGGUACGGUCGGAAAUCGUGCUGAUAGUGCAAUGGCAUAAGCGUGCUUAACUGCGAGACCGACAAGUCGAGCAGGUGCGAAAGCAGGUCAUAGUGAUCCGGUGGUUCUGUAUGGAAGGGCCAUCGCUCAACGGAUAAAAGGUACUCUGGGGAUAACAGGCUGAUACCGCCCAAGAGUUCAUAUCGACGGCGGUGUUUGGCACCUCGAUGUCGGCUCAUCUCAUCCUGGGGCUGUAGCCGGUCCCAAGGGUAUGGCUGUUCGCCAUUUAAAGAGGUACGUGAGCUGGGUUUAAAACGUCGUGAGACAGUUUGGUCCCUAUCUGCCGUGGGCGUUGGAUAUUUGAAGGGGGCUGCUCCUAGUACGAGAGGACCGGAGUGGACGAACCUCUGGUGUACCGGUUGUGACGCCAGUCGCAUCGCCGGGUAGCUAUGUUCGGAAGAGAUAACCGCUGAAAGCAUCUAAGCGGGAAACUCGCCUUAAGAUGAGAUAUCCCUGGAGGCUUGACCUCCUUGAAGGGUCGUUCGAGACCAGGACGUUGAUAGGUCGGGUGUGUAAGCGCAGUAAUGCGUUCAGCUAACCGAUACUAAUUGCCCGUAAGGCUUGAUCCUAUAACA
rnacentral:rRNA from 1 species